rnacentral:misc_RNA from 1 species
AUAUAGUUAUUGGGUUCUUUGCAAAAAUAACAGUACAAGAAGCAAAAUCCAUGGAAAGAAACGAAGGAUUUGUUUCGGUCCAUCCAGAGAAGAUGUUGCAUCCUCUCACAACUCAUACUCCCACGUUCUCGGGUCUGCAACUGAUCAAUGAAGGAUUUUGGAACCAUUCCAAUUAUGGGAAAGGAGUGAUUAUAGGACUUCUUCAUCUGGAGGAAGAUUCACAGAUCGUGCUUCAACCGUGCACAUUUGCA